rnacentral:rRNA from 1 species
AACGAACGCUGGCGGCAGGCCUAACACAUGCAAGUCGAGCGAGAUCUUCGGAUCUAGCGGCGGACGGGUGAGUAACGCGUGGGAAUAUGCCCUUUGGUACGGAAUAGCCUCGGGAAACUGAGAGUAAUACCGUAUGUGCCCUUCGGGGGAAAGAUUUAUCGCCAAAGGAUUAGCCCGCGUUGGAUUAGGUAGUUGGUGGGGUAAUGGCCUACCAAGCCUACGAUCCAUAGCUGGUUUGAGAGGAUGAUCAGCCACACUGGGACUGAGACACGGCCCAGACUCCUACGGGAGGCAGCAGUGGGGAAUCUUAGACAAUGGGGGAAACCCUGAUCUAGCCAUGCCGCGUGAGUGAUGAAGGCCUUAGGGUUGUAAAGCUCUUUCAGCUGGGAAGAUAAUGACGGUACCAGCAGAAGAAGCCCCGGCUAACUCCGUGCCAGCCGCCGCCGUAA